UAAGCCUUGAAAAUGGCGGAGUGUGCAUCCGCCGAAAUAUCGGCAGUUGUCGAAAAUUCAACCUGGCUGAAUGCCCAACACGAGGCUGUAUCAUCACAUUACGUUCUGUGGACUCUUGUAUAUUUGUUCCUGCAAAGAAAUACAAUUUCCGUUGCUCAGUUUACUUAAAGGACACAUGAGGAUGGAUCAUACAGGAAGAGAAGAAUCCAGUUUGAGAUUGAAAUUAAAAUACCCAUGCAAGUUUCCCGGAUGCAGGAGUAGUUAUUACGUAAAAACAAAUUCCAAACACAAGAAUAAACAUUUCUAUAAAUUUCUAGCUGCAACAAAAAGUGAGACUUUAAAGAAGUGGAAACUGAUCUGUAAUAUAGAUGAAGGUGUCAACUGUAGUUAUUAUUGUGUGUGUGAGGAUCAUUUUUAUG